UUGCUCACGUUGGCAGCACAUAUACUAAAACUGGAAUGAUACAGAGAAGAUUAACAUGGCUGUUGCUGAAUGUCACAUCUGUGAGGGAAGUCAACUCGCAUUCA